AACGAACGCUGGCGGCAUGCCUAACACAUGCAAGUCGAACGAGACCUCCGGGUCUAGUGGCGCACGGGUGCGUAACGCGUGGGAACCUGCACGUAGGUUCCGAAUACCUCCCCGAAAGGGGUGCUAAUACCGGAUAAUCUCUUCGGACCAAAGAUUUAUUGCCUGUGGAUGGGCCCGCGUUGGAUUAGCUAGUUGGUAGGGUAAAAGCCUCCCAAGGCGACGAUCCAUAGCUGGUCUGAGAGGAUGAUCAGCCACACUGGGACUGAGACACGGCCUAGACUCCUACGGGAGGCAGCAGUGGGGAAUAUUGGACAAUGGGCGAAAGCCUGAUCCAGCAAUGCCGCGUGAGUGAUGAAGGCCUUAGGGUUGUAAAGCUCUUUUACCCGGGAUGAUAAUGACAGUACCGGGAGAAUAAGCUCCGGCUAACUCCGUG
rnacentral:rRNA from 1 species